GGGUAUUUCCCCCCAAAAAACGCAUCCCCUAGUCCUGGGAAGGGAACAGCCAGAGGCAGGUUCACCCCUUCUCCAUAGCUCCCCGGCGGUACAGCUCCAGAAAAGCUGGGGCUUUUUUUUUUCUCCCCCGGCUCCAGAAAAGUCGAGUUAAAGUCUCCUAAAACGCAGGAAUUUGCCCCAAAAAGCCAAACCACGGCGGCAAACAUCCGGCAGGUGCAACACAUCCUUGCCCCAAGACACCGGAACUCCAAGACCCGUUUAUAAGUGAAAAAUAAACCUCACGUAAGAAGUGACGCUGGCUUGCUUCCGCAUGCGAUUUAAUUUCCUUCUGGAAAUUAAAAAGUAGAGAUGGACAGAAAUAACAGUUCCUGGAGGAAUAUUUUUAUCCAGCACGGCUCUGGAUUCCCCCGCUGUCGCUUGCAAGCUGGGCUCCCUCUUGGGAGGGAGAAGUAGCUGAAGCAACCAAGAUUUAAUUAAGCUUGAAAUUAGCAUCCUGUUGAUUAAAGCCCUGUGCCAGGCGUUUCCUGGAGGAAAGGAAAGGAAAAAAUGAAAAAGGGAAAAGGAAAAUGGAAAAGGAAAGGAAAACGGAAAAGGAAAGGGAAAAUGAAAGGGAAAAUGAAAGGGAAAACGGAAAGGAAAGGAACUAUCUUUUUCCUUUCCAUUUUUUUUUUCUGCCUCGAGAUCUGCCAGGAUUUCUUUCCCUUUCUUAUUUUUAAUUUUAUUUUUUUUCCGUUUUCUCGCGCCCCAUCACCGCGCACCAACGGCCCCUCGAGUCCCCCCCAGCGCGUGUGCGGCGCGGGAAAGGGGAUCAGAAGCUCCUCCUCCUAUUGGCUGCCCGCCGAGCUGCGCUUUCCUAUUGGCUGCGCGCGAGCAACCAAUGAGAACGCGUCUUUCCGAUCCGUUAAGCAAAUGCCCGCUGGGUUUUUGCAUCGCUCCUGCCUCUUUUUACCCUCGCUGCGAGCCAACUCCGGGGAGCUGCUGUGGUUUGCCUGGGGAAAAAAAACAAAGCAGAUUAAUUUGGGG
rnacentral:lncRNA from 1 species